CGGCGAGUGAAGCGGCAACAGCUCAAAUUUGAAAUCUGGCCCCCAGGGCCCGAGUUGUAAUUUGCAGAGGAUGCUUUUGGCGCGGUGCCUUCCGAGUUCCCUGGAACGGGACGCCAUAGAGGGUGAGAGCCCCGUCUGGUCGGACGCCUAGCCUGUGUAAAGCUCCUUCGACGAGUCGAGUAGUUUGGGAAUGCUGCUCUAAAUGGGAGGUAUAUGUCUUCUAAAGCUAAAUACCGGCCAGAGACCGAUAGCGCACAAGUAGAGUGAUCGAAAGAUGAAAAGCACUUUGAAAAGAGGGUUAAAUAGUACGUGAAAUUGUUGAAAGGGAAGCGCUUGUGACCAGACUUGGGCCCGGUGGAUCAUCCAGCGUUCUCGCUGGUGCACUCCGCCGGGUUCAGGCCAGCAUCAGUUCGCCGCGGGGGAAAAAGGCUUCGGGAACGUGGCUCCUACGGGAGUGUUAUAGCCCGUUGCAUAAUACCCUGGGGCGGACUGAGGUUCGCGCUCCGCAAGGAUGCUGGCGUAAUGGUCAUCAGCGACCCGUCUUG
rnacentral:rRNA from 1 species